rnacentral:rRNA from 1 species
AUUGAACGCUGGCGGUAUGCUUAACACAUGCAAGUCGAACGGUAGCAGGCCUUCGGGCGCUGACGAGUGGCGGACGGGUGAGUAACGCGUAGGAAUCUGCCUCAUAGUGGGGGACAACGUGGGGAAACUCACGCUAAUACCGCAUACGCCCUACGGGGGAAAGCGGGGGCUCUUCGGACCUCGCGCUAUGAGAUGAGCCUGCGUUAGAUUAGCUAGUUGGUAGGGUAAAAGCCUACCAAGGCGACGAUCUAUAGCUGGUCUGAGAGGACGAUCAGCCACACUGGGACUGAGACACGGCCCAGACUCCUACGGGAGGCAGCAGUGGGGAAUAUUGGACAAUGGGCGCAAGCCUGAUCCAGCAAUACCGCGUGUGUGAAGAAGGCCCUAGGGUUGUAAAGCACUUUCAAUUGGGAGGAAAACCUGCCGGUCAAUACCCGGCAGCUUGACAUUACCUUUAGAAGAAGCACCGGCUAACUCCGUGCCAGCCGCCGCCGUAAAAC